rnacentral:rRNA from 1 species
CACGUAGGGGGCGAGCGUUGUCCGGAAUCAUUGGGCGUAAAGAGCUCGUAGGCGGCUCAGUAAGUCGGGUGUGAAACCCCCAGGCUCAACCUGGGGACGCCACUCGAUACUGCUGUGGCUAGAGUCCAGUAGAGGAGUGUGGAAUUCCCGGUGUAGCGGUGAAAUGCGCAGAUAUCAGGAGGAACACCAGCGGCGAAGGCGGCGCUCUGGGCCGGAACUGACGCUGAGGAGCGAAAGCGUGGGUAGCAAACAGG